CGGCGUGCUUAACACAUGCAAGUCGAACGAGAGGACAAGAGAAGCUUGCUUCUUUUGGAAUCGAGUGGCAAACGGGUGAGUAACACGUAAACAACCUGCCUUCAGGAUGGGGACAACAGACGGAAACGACUGCUAAUACCGAAUACGCUUGGGAGACCGCAUGAUCUUCCAAGGAAAGGGUGGCCUCUACUUGUAAGCUAUCGCCUGAAGAGGGGUUUGCGUCUGAUUAGGCAGUUGGUGAGGUAACGGCCCACCAAACCUACGAUCAGUAGCCGGUCUGAGAGGAUGAACGGCCACACUGGAACUGAGACACGGUCCAGACUCCUACGGGAGGCAGCAGUGGGGAAUCUUCCGCAAUGGGCGAAAGCCUGACGGAGCAACGCCGCGUGAGUGAUGACGGCCUUCGGGUUGUAAAGCUCUGUGAUCGGGGACGAAUGGCUGGUAUGCUAAUACCAUAUCAGAGUGACGGUACCCGAAUAGCAAGCCACGGCUAACUACGUG
rnacentral:rRNA from 1 species